CCUACGGGUGGCAGCAGUGAGGAAUAUUGGUCAAUGGUCGGGAGACUGAACCAGCCAAGCCGCGUGAGGGAGGAAGGUACAGAGUAUCGUAAACCUCUUUUGUCAGGGAACAAAGGCGGGGACGUGUCCCCGGAUGAGUGUACCUGAAGAAAAAGCAUCGGCUAACUCCGUGCCAGCAGCCGCGGUAAUACGGAGGAUGCGAGCGUUAUCCGGAUUUAUUGGGUUUAAAGGGUGCGCAGGCGGCCUGUUAAGUCAGCGGGCAAAGCCCGGGGUUCAACCCCGGCCCGCCGUUGAAACUGGCAGUCUCGAGUUGGAGAGAAGUAUGCGGAAUGCGCGGUGUAGCGGUGAAAUGCAUAGAUAUCGCGCAGAACUCAGAUUGCGAAGGCAGCAUGCCGGCUCCACACUGACGCUGAGGCACGAAAGCGUGGGUAUCGAACAGGAUUAGAUACCCGGGUAGUC
rnacentral:rRNA from 1 species